rnacentral:rRNA from 1 species
GAUGAACGCUGGCGGCGUGCCUAAUACAUGCAAGUCGAGCGAACAGACGAGGAGCUUGCUCCUCUGACGUUAGCGGCGGACGGGUGAGUAACACGUGGAUAACCUACCUAUAAGACUGGGAUAACUUCGGGAAACCGGAGCUAAUACCGGAUAAUAUAUUGAACCGCAUGGUUCAAUAGUGAAAGACGGUUUUGCUGUCACUUAUAGAUGGAUCCGCGCCGCAUUAGCUAGUUGGUAAGGUAACGGCUUACCAAGGCAACGAUGCGUAGCCGACCUGAGAGGGGGGUCAGCCACCCCAGAUCUGAGCCACGGCCCAGACCACUACGCGACGCAACGGUGGAGAAUCUUACGCAAGGCGCGAAAGCUUGACCGAGCACCGCCGCGUGAGUGAUGAAGGUCCUCGGAUCGUAGAACUAUGCUAUUUGUAAAGAGCAAAUGAGUAAGUCACUAUGCACGUCUUGACGGUACCUUAUGAGAAAGCCCCGGCUAACUACGUG